rnacentral:rRNA from 1 species
GACGAACGCUGGCGGCGUGCUUAACACAUGCAAGUCGAACGGAAAGGCCCUGCUUUUGUGGGGUGCUCGAGUGGCGAACGGGUGAGUAACACGUGAGUAACCUGCCCUUGACUUUGGGAUAACUUCAGGAAACUGGGGCUAAUACCGGAUAGGAGCUCCUGCUGCAUGGUGGGGGUUGGAAAGUUUCGGCGGUUGGGGAUGGACUCGCGGCUUAUCAGCUUGUUGGUGGGGUAGUGGCUUACCAAGGCUUUGACGGGUAGCCGGCCUGAGAGGGUGACGGCCACAUUGGGACUGAGAUACGGCCCAGACUCCUACGGGAGGCAGCAGUGGGGAAUAUUGCACAAAGGGCGGAAGCCUGAUGCAGCAACGCCGCGUGCGGGAUGACGGCCUUCGGGUUGUAAACCGCUUUCGCCUGUGACGAAGCGUGAGUGACGGUAAUGGGUAAAGAAGCACCGGCUAACUACGUG